GGAGUCUAGCAUGUGCGCGAGUCAUUGGGACUUGAAUAAACCUAAAGGCGAAAUGAAAGUGAAACGGUUCGUCUCGCACGGACCGAGGGAAGAUGGGUGAUCGCCCAAAAAGUGGCCACCCCGCAUUCCCGGGGCGUCUCGUUCUCAUCACGAGGAGAGGCGCACCAAGAGCGUACACGCUGGGACCCGAAAGAUGGUGAACUAUGCCUGGUCAGGACGAAGUCAGGGGAAACCCUGAUGGAGGUCCGUAGCGAUUCUGACGUGCAAAUCGAUCGUCGGAACUGGGUAUAGGGGCGAAAGACUAAUCGAACCAUCUAGUAGCUGGUUCCCUCCGAAGUUUCCCUCAGGAUAGCUGGCGCUCGUUGCGCACGAGUCUCAUCCGGUAAAGCGAAUGAUUAGAGGCAUUGGGGUCGAAACGGCCUCAACCUAUUCUCAAACUUUAAAUGGGUGAGAUCUCCGGCUUGCUCGAACUAUUGAAGCCGCGAGACACGGAUCAGAGUGCCAAGUGGGCCAUUUUUGGUAAGCAGAACUGGCGCUGUGGGAUGAACCAAACGCCGAGUUAAAGCGCCUAAAUCGACGCUUAUGGGAUACCAUGAAAGGCGUUGGUAACUUAAGACAGCAGGACGGUGGCCAUGGAAGUC
rnacentral:rRNA from 1 species